GUAGUGUAUAGGGUUACCAGUUUGUGCAGGUGAUGUAGUGUGUUUGUGUGUAGUGGAAGCAGUGUGUAUUUGUGUAUAAGGGAUGUAUUAUGUGUUUCUGGUUGUGUGUAAGGGAUGCAUUGUGUGAAUCUGUGUUUGUAUGCAUAAGGGAUGCAAGGUGUGUGUCUGUAUGUGUGUGCAUUGAGUGUAAGAGAUGCAUUGUGUUUCUGUGUGUAUGUAAGAAAAGAAGUGUGUGUGUUUGCAUAUGUGUGUACGGGUUUGCAUUGUCUGUUUCUGUGUAUGUGUGCAAAGGAUGCAUUGUCUUUAUGUGUAAGGGUUGCAUUGUGUGUGUGUGUGUAAUGGAUGCAUUGUGUGUUUCUCUGUGUGUAAGGGAAGCAUGUUGUGUUUCUGUGUAUGUAUAGGGAUGCAUUGUGUGUGUGUGCGCGCGCGUAGUGUGAAAG